AAAUAAGAAGUAAAUUUACAUUUUAGUUUCGACCUAAAAAAAGAGAAUUAUUCUCCUUAUUUU
rnacentral:tRNA from 1 species